ensembl:lincRNA
GCUUUUAAGAAUAUGAAGGGGUAUUGUUGGACUCUCAUUUUUGUGGGAUGUGUUAAGCCACUGGGGUCUCAGGCAGUGUUUUCCCUUUUGCAUCUCUGCACAGUACGCAAUGCAGGGCGUGUGUCCAGCAGGGGGCAGUGCUCACUAAUAGAUGAUCCUGUGGGUACAACAGGCAGGGAAUGGGACGUUGUUUCACUUUUUUACCCAAGUUCUACCCCCUCACGCCGCCCCCUAGGCUGAAAUAAUCAGUUAAGCAGCCUGCCAGGGAUGCUAACUAGGCCAGCAGUGUGGAGGCCAGCCACAUGGUGUGGGGUAUUGAGGAAGAACUUGGGAGCCCUGUUCCUCCUCGCUGUGUGUGGGGGUCUGCAUCCCUCUCACCCAUCUCCCCCUCAUCCCUUUACCCUGCAGGAGAGUUGGACAUUGUGAUCCAGUCCUCCCUCAGAGAGGCAGCUAAGCUGAGAGGAUUUCCGAUGCCCAGUCCCAGGCAAGUCAGUUCUUAUUUUUAUUUAUUUAUUUAUUCCAACACCCCCCCCACCUCAUUGUUUGCACUCGUUGUUUGCACUCACUGUCAUCUCUCUGUGUCCACUCACUGUCUGCUCAUCUUCUCUUUAGGAGGCACCAGGAACAGAACCUGGGACCUCCCAGAUGGAAGAGAGGCGCUCAGUCUCUGUUUUGUUGUGUUUCCCAUUCUUUCCUCUUUAUGUCUCCUUGUUGUGUCAUCUUGUUGUGACAGCUUGCCACACCUGCAUGUCAUGUCAGCUUGCUGUCUUGCUUGUUUUCUCCAGGCGGCAGCGGGAACUGAACCCAGGACCUCCCAUGUGGUAGGCAGGAGCACAGUCACUUGAGCCACAUUUGCUUCCCCAAGUCAAUUCUUUAUGGUCUCAGUUUUCUUUUCGGUGUAAUGAAGGGGGCAGUUCUCAAAUAAUCCAUCUCCGGGGGUUCUUCAGACACUGAUGUUAGAAGGUUCUAAAUGUGAGCGGGAAAGGACUAGGACUUGAAGGCAGCCUGAGAGAAGGUCUGGGAGUCAGGAGGGCUUCAGGGAGUUUUGCAGUUCCAUAAUGGGCAUGUAAUUAUGCAGCGCUUACAUCUGAGUUGUCAGCUCACGUGGUUUCGGCCCUUCAGUUGGCAGCCUUACCCAGCACCCUUCAAACUCGGGAGGGGAAGAGCCCUCUAGCUUUGCCAAGGAGCUGUCAGCAGGGCUGAGAGCCAGAAAGGGGAUUUCUGGAGGUAGAGAGAGUCUCCUACUCAAGAGAGUCAUCAGGCAUUGUGCUUAGAGAAGAAUACAUUUCUUGAAUGCCCACUAAGACAUUCAAGGCUGCCAAGGGUGAGGGAGAGAGGACCCUGCUCAUAAACAGAAUGAAGAAAAUUCUGGUUUUCUGGAGGACCUUUUGGCAUUAUCUAGAGACAUUUAAAGUGUUCACAGCCCUUGAUGCAUCUAUAGACUCGAACCCUGUGGAAUGGUUUAUGAAUGUUCACCAUUAAGACCAAGAGUGCUGAUCAUAGCAUUGUUCAGAAUUUCAGAGCAAAACAAAACUGCAAAUAGACAAAUGUCCAACAAUAGAGAGCUGGUAAAACAGUUAUGGUGCAGCCUCCCAAUGGAUUAUUAAGUGGCGGUUCAGAAAAAUGGGGUGAAUCUCUGUGUGCUAAUUUGGGAUGUCCUCAAGGUAUAAGUGAAAAAGCAAGGUGCAGAGCCAUUUACUGUGUGUAGCAGGGGCUGGCAAAUGGACCCACAAGUCAAAUCAGUCUCUUACCUGAGAGUUACAAAUGGUUUUUAUAUUUUGAAGUGUCAAAAGAAGAAUACUAAUUCGUGACACAUAAAAAUGAUAUGAAAUGCAAAAUUCAGUGUCCAUAUGUUUUUUUUUUAACGAUUUUUAAAGCUUUAUUACGGUGUUCUUGACAUACAGUGAACUGAACAUAUUUAAGUAUGCAAUUUGAUAACUUCUCACAUAUGUAUAUGCCUGUGAUACCAUCAUACUAGUCAUGAUUAUCAACAUAUUUUUUACAUUUUUUCCUCUUAUCCUUUUUCAAAUGUAUUUUUAUUGAAGUAUAUCAUUUAUACAUAAACAGUAAGUAUAGUAAAAGUUGUGAACUUACAGUACAAACAUGCAUAAUAUCACAUAGGGGUCCCACACAUCAACCCUCCACCAACACCUUGCAUUGUUGUGAUACAUUUGUUACAAACUAUGCAAGAGCAUCGUCAAAAUAUUAUUAUUAACUAUAGUCCAUAGCUUAUAUUUGGUUUAUUUUUCCCCCAGCCCACU